GGAUACACAAUUAAAUCUGAAUUUCAGAUGAACAGUGAGUAAUUUUUUAGUAUAAGUAUGUCUCAUGCAAUAUUUGGGACAUACUUAUACUGAAACUCUAUUCAUUUAUCUGAAAUUCAAAUUUAGCUGGGCAUC
rnacentral:miRNA from 1 species